rnacentral:hammerhead_ribozyme from 1 species
GUAGUGCUGAGGAGUCCCAUAAUAGGACGAAACGGCCGUCCAGUGC